rnacentral:sRNA from 1 species
GAAUAGCCCUGAUGGGAGCGGCAUCCUUUUUCCGGUGACUUCGAGAGCCUCAGCCACCGGAAAAAGAUAGAACGGACAGCAGGAAUCCAA